rnacentral:rRNA from 1 species
UACGAAGGGGGCUAGCGUUGCUCGGAAUCACUGGGCGUAAAGGGUGCGUAGGUGGGUCUUUAAGUCAGGGGUGAAAUCCUGGAGCUCAACUCCAGAACUGCCUUUGAUACUGAAGAUCUUGAGUCCGGGAGAGGUGAGUGGAACUGCGAGUGUAGAGGUGAAAUUCGUAGAUAUUCGCAAGAACACCAGUGGCGAAGGCGGCUCACUGGCCCGGAACUGACGCUGAGACGCGAAAGCGUGGGGAGCAAACAGG